GCGCCCUAGGCCUGGCUCAGCGGCCUGGCCUAAAAUGGCGGCUCCUGCUGCGGAAGCCUCCAAGCCUUUCCUUGGGCUCUUGAAUGGCGUCGCCCAGGCCGCCUAUUACGGCAACAAGGAGAUCACGGAGGAGCUGCUGAGGGAGCAGCUCUACCCGGACAUGGCCCCGCAGGAGUUCGCCGCCCUGCGAGCCAAGGCCGCCGGCCUCCUCAAGUCAAUAGCUUCAGCUGACAUGGAUACAAACCAACUAGAGGCAUUUUUGACAGCGCAAACAAAGAAACCAGGAGGUAUCACAAGUGAUCAAGCCGCAGUUAUUGCAAAAUUUUGGCGGAACCACAGAAUGAAAAUCCGAGACAACUUGAUAAAUCAAAGCAAAUGGGAAAAUUCUUUGAAAAACCUAAGCUGGAGAGUAGAUUUCAAGUCUCAGUCAAGAAAUAUUGAUCAGUUAAGCAGUCCUGUGGCGAUUGUCGAAAUGGAACUUAGAAAAAAUGGACAGGCACGAGGAGGACCUCUUCCUGCUACACCACGACUCUAUUCUGCCAGACAACAGACUACAUAUUCUACAUGGAGGAGGCCUUAUUGGGAUCCAGAACAGGCUUUAGGUGCAAGAAUUAGGAUCAGAGUCUUCAGCUGAUAGUAUUGCGAAACCUCUGCCGGUGUCUGACUUAAGUUUCUUAUGCCACCUCUUGUAUCUGCUGCUUGUCCAAAGGGCUCCUUCUGCUGGGCUUGAGAACUCAAAAGCCAUAAAACAGGACGACUAUUGGAGCUGACCAAGAAACAGGCAGGUUUAUCUAGCACAGGGAUGGAGAAGCAACUUAGAUGGUCUACCCCAGAGACAAAUGGAAUGUGAUGGAUUACAGAUUACUUAAAGCACUGUGUAAUUUCCCUGCUGGGGCAUGGAAAUCCUCUGAGUGACCUUGGGCAUAUCACACACACUCAGCCCCAGCGGAUGGCAAGGUCAAACCCCUUCUGAUGAAACAUGCGAAGAAAAUGCCAUGAUAGGAUUGCCAUAAAUUGGUAAAAGACUUGAAGGCAUGAAACAACAACAGUUUUACAAUCCUAUGGAAGUCAUAAUUUCACUAUGGAAUUGUGAGAUAUAAAGAUAUGAAUUGUGAGGUAGAUAUGAUUGCUCCUGGGUAUUUUUACCUGUGUUGUGGUGCCUGUUCAUAUCUGUAAUAUUUGAGUCAGCCGUGAGUGAUGAAACAAGCUGGAGAAUAGCUAGAAGACAAAAUGGUAAAAGACUCACUGCAGAGCUGCUUGAACACAUGUUAGAGCACAUCACUGUGCCUACUGCAUGACAGGGAGAACAGAAAAGCUUAUUUUAACACUUCUCUUACAUCUUCAAGUAGCCAUUCAGCAGGGCUUUUCAGAUUGGUCCAGGGUACUGUAGUUAUUGAAAUAUGUAAUUUUAUAUUGUUUUUAUUUGAUGUUUUAAUAGUUUUUAUUAUAAUGUGUUGUUAAGUGUUUUUAAUUUGUGAGCCACCUUGGGUCACUUUCUGGGAGAAAGAUGGCAUAAAAAUGAAAUAAAUAAAAUAAAAAUAAAUAAUAAUUAUUACUCAGGUGAAUGAAGGCCUCUAUCCUUCAGAGGCCCAUUCUGAUCUUUUGCUAAAUACUUUGAGGAUAACAUUGUUCAUCAUGACAAUGACAUUAAUGCUGUCAUUGUGACGGAAUCAUUCAAGGUUUCUAAUAACCCAGUUGUUCACGAUCUGUUUGAGUUUAUAUGGUUUGAAGAUGUGGACAAAAUGCUUACCGUAAUACAUCCUACUGUGUAUUUUCUCAAUAUUAGACCUUUAUGGUGGAAUAAAGUGUGUAGCGAGUGCUUCUUAUGGGAAAGAGUGAUGCCUACUCCCCUUAGGGAGCCAGUGGUUCAACCUUUCUUAAAGGAAUCCACCUCAGACCUAAUUGUUUUUGACAUCUAUCAUUGGAACAACAAGCCAGUGAGAAUUCGACCACUUCUAGAUCAAAAUCAACCCAUCUUCAAAGAGAAAAAGAUUCACAGUGUACACUGCCAGAUGAGUUGAACCAGAAACCAGGCUGCCAUGCCAAUGAAGUCCUGCACUUUUCCUAAUAGAGUGGACUCAGCAUAAACCACAUCCAAUACCAACCAGGUAGCUUAGCAGACCAUACGCUAACAGAACUUUUGUUUCUCCUGAGCCCCCACCUUUAGAUAAACACACUCAAAACUGGAAGACUGGAACAAGGAUAGGACAUCUGGUGAGGGAAAGGGGAUCAUGAUAGAGCACUGCAGUUCUUCUUGCCAUCCUACCCAAUUAGACCUUGUCCACUGUCCAGAGAACUGAGGCGAGCAAAGGUUGAACAGAUGACCCCUUUCUCUUCUCAUCUAACCAGGAUGUCAUGCCUGCCAAGUUAACCUACUUAUCCAUGAUCAGGUCCUGGAUGGCUGUUUGCCCAUUUGCUGGUCUCAUUGAACAAAAAUACUAUCAAUGAAGGGCGUUUGUCAAAACUGGAAGACUGGGACAGUGACAGUGUUGGGGACUGUCAACCAGACCACUUGGGUCCCUGUACCAGGUGACAGUUUAACCCAUAUUUUAAUACCCUUUAUUGCAGUCUCUUGCUAUCUUUGCUCUGAGAAACUGCAAAUUCUUUUUUUAAUGUCUGUUUAUAAACUGUCAUUUAGCUUUGUUCUAAACACUGAUGACUGAGGAAGAAACCUUAUUGGUGACUAGUCACUAAAGUAAAGCUAUCAUGUAUGCUCUCCUGACUUCUCAUUGUUGAGGAUCAACAUACCCUUUGCUGUUGUGAAAAGGCAAGUCAGUUUAUUCUUCAUUCAGAUGGGGCUUGCACAAAAACAGUCGCCAGUGAAUUGUGCUUGUGGCUGACUGGAACACAUUUUUAAGUUCUUUGUGUCUAAUGCGUUGCCCACACUAACUGGAGCUCAGCCUGAGAAAGUUAAAAUGCGUUCAGCACUAGUUCAGCACUAGUAAAUAAUCCUCUGAUUUAGCAGCUAUAAAAUAAUGGAUUGAAAAAUUUCAGGAACUUAAUAUCAUAAAAGCAGUGAAAUUAAAUUUGCUGCAGUGUAUCAAAUGGAAAGCUUUCCUUAUGUACUUGGAUCUGCUCCAGUCCUUCCAAUCAUUUCUAUUUCAUCUGCAAUAGUUUAGGAUUGAUCCUUCAUUAGUAGAAUUACCAAAAAAAAAAUCCUCUUGUAGGGUGGGUAACCAUUUCCUUCCUGUUGGAACAUAACAGAGAAGCUGUUCAUCCUUCCCAAAUCAUACGGAACCCAAGUAAGGGAAAGCCAAAGUACAUACUGUGUAGUAGAUACUUUUUCUCUUUUCAUUUUUUUUCUCCAAAAAAUGAAACAAAUAAGUCUUUACUUUUGAGAUUUUAAAUGGCAUAAUAUUUCUGAUGAUAACUACAUAAGCAAAUCACAUUUUUCACUCUUGUUAUUGCAAAGACUAUAAUGCAGAUGAAACCAACAGGGCCAAUACGAUUGGUGCUCUAUUAUAUUUGAUAUUAUCUAGCUUUGAUUUGAAGAUCACACAUGGCUUGUAGUUAAUAGGAUAAUAAUAAACAUUCAAGAACCUUUGAGUCUUACAAUGUCAUUAGAUUGUUGUAGAUGCAACAUGAUGAUAGAAAAUUCAGCACACCGUGCUUGUGGUGAUUUGCAGUGCAUUAGUCUGCCUCUUCUGAGAUUUCAUAUGAAAUGAGAAACUUUGGCAAUCUGCAGUGUUUGUUGCCCUCAUUUGACUAAAUUAUUUUAUUUUAGAUAAGGCAGAAUAAAGUUUUGUUAGAAAGAUACCACACUGUGUCUUUAGUCCUUGUACUGAAUUGGAAAUAGUAAUAUAUGUGUUAUUUGUCUGAACAUCAUAUAGUAAUGCAUUACUUACAAUCAUAUAUUUUGGCGUGGUGCAUGGCAGCAAGGGAGCGUGCCCUGCCCCUCCUCCCUGCCAUGCUCUUCUCUAUAUGUAGCUAAAACAUGUGCGACAGGGAGGGGGGCUGGGUACACUCCCUUACUGCCAUGUGUCACUCUACAAGUAGAUAAAACAGUGCAUGGUGGGAAGGGGACUGAGCACACUCCCUCUCUGCCACGUGCCACUCUCCAUGUAGGUGGAACAGUGUGCAGCAGGGAGGGAGCAUGUCCUACCCCCUCUCCCUACCAUGCACCAUUCUAUUCAUGUGUAGAGUGGCACAUGGCAGUGAGGUGGGUGCCACCCUUGUAGCCCCACCACCCAGAAACAUCUCUUGCUGCACUAGGUAACACCCUGGAUGGUGACGCCAGUGGCUGCAACCACAUCUGGGCAAUCCCAUGAAACAAGUAGGAACCUUAACUGAACAGCAACUCCUAGGGUUUCCUGAGGCAUACUGUACAUAUUCAAGGAUAGGGGACAUUUCACUCCCUAAACAAGAUAACAUUUUUUUUACUAUAUGGUAAAGUCAGAAUGAGUCAAAAGCUCCUUCUUUAACAGGUGAUGGUUAUAGCAAGAGUACGAUAUGGGAAUUACUUGGCAAGUGAGAUGACGAUUUUUGAAAACUGCUGAUGUGCGAUGCCGUAUACAUACCUUGGGUGCAGCUGCUUAUCUGUAAGAAGAAGACGUCCAGAACUCUAAGAACAGCAACAGACUGGAUUGAUAGCAGAAUGCGUGGACAAAGACUGAUAAGAAAAAGAACGCAAGGAUGUAAAGAACUGUUCAAUCUAAGGGUGUUGGUUAACGUCAAAGGAAAUCAUUCUUGAAGAAAAGAAAAAGGGCGAUGGACAUUGAAAAGUGGAAGGCCUUAAAAGAGAGACUUUCCAAACCAGAGGGGUGUUCCCGCAACCAUGGCGCCGGGGACUCCCAUGGGCUUUGUGAGGGUGACUGAUCACCGACUUCAGCAAAGUGCCACCUGUGUGUGGGAGUCUAUGGGUGUGUGUGUGAGAGAGAGCUCUCUUGAUACUUAAUGUCUGUGUUAUGUUUGUGAUUUAAUAAAUGUUACAUACAUAGUGAUUAAA